GGGUGCGAUCAUACCAGCACUAAUGCACCGGAUCCCAUCAGAACUCUGCAGUUAAGGGUGCUUGGGCGAGAGUAGUACUAGGAUGGGUGACCUCCUGGGAAGUCCUCGUGUUGCACCCC
rfam:Gossypium raimondii Chr06_contig_393, whole genome shotgun sequence.